UGAUAUCGAAUUUACAUGGAUAACCGUGGUAAUUCUAGAGCUAAUACAUGCUGGUAGGCCCGACUUUUGCGGAAGGGCGGUAUUUAUUAGAUAACAAGCCAAUAUUCCUCUGGUCUAUUGUGGUGACUCAUAAUAACUGAUCGAAUCGCAAGGCCUUUGGCCGCGAUAAGUCAUUCAAGUUUCUGCCCCAUCAGCUUUCGAUGGCAGUGUAUUGGACUACCAUGGCGUUUACGGGUAACGGAGGAUUAGGGUUCGAUUCCGGAGAGGGAGCCUGAGAAACGGCUACCACAUCUAAGGAAGGCAGCAGGCGCGUAAAUUACCCAAUCCUGACUCAGGGAGGUAGUGACAAGAAAUAACGGACCGAGGCCUUCGGGCUUCGGGAUUGGAAUGAGCCGAAUUUACACCCCUUAGCGAAGAUCGAUUGGAGGGCAAGUCUGGUGCCAGCAGCCGCGGUAACUCCAGCUCCAAUAGCGUAUAUUAAAGUUGUUGCAGUUAAAAAGCUCGUAGUUGGAUUUCUGGGAGGGUGCCGAUGUCCACUUAACGUGUGCGCAGCGGCGCCCUCUCAUCCUUCUGUUAGCGUCACUUGGCAUUCAUUUGCUGGUGGCGGGCUCAGAUAUUUUACCUUGAGAAAAUUAGAGUGUUUCAGGCAGGCUAGGCCGGAAUACAUUAGCAUGGAAUAAUGGAAUAGGACUACGGUCUCUUUGUUGGUUUGAGGGACUGCAGUAAUGAUUAAUAGGGAUAGUUGGGGGCAUUAGUACUUAACUGCCAGAGGUGGAAUUCUCAGAUUUGUUAAGAACUGACUUAUGCGAAAGCAUUUGCCAAGGAUGUUUUCAUUAAUCAAGAACGAAAGUUAGGGGAUCAAAGACGAUCAGAUACCGUCCUAGUCUUAACCAUAAACUAUGCCGACUCGGGAUUGGGGGCGUGUUCUAUCCGCCUUCAGCACCGUAUGAGAAAUCAAAGUCUUUGGGGUUCUGGG
rnacentral:rRNA from 1 species